GACGAACGCUGGCGGCGUGCUUAACACAUGCAAGUCGAACGGAAAGGCCCCUUUGGGGGUACUCGAGUGGCGCACGGGUGAGUAACACGUGAGUAACCUGCCCUUGACUUCGGGAUAACUUCAGGAAACUGGGGCUAAUACCGGAUAGGAAUCCUUGCUGCAUGGUGGGGGUUGGAAAGCUUCGGCGGUUUCGGAUGGACUCGCGGCUUAUCAGCUUGUUGGUGGGGUAGUGGCUUAUCAAGGCUUUGACGGGUAGCCGGCCUGAGAGGGCGACCGGCCACAUUGGGACUGAGAUACGGCCCAGACUCCUACGGGAGGCAGCAGUGGGGAAUGUUGCACAAUGGGCGGAAGCCUGAUGCAGCAACGCCGCGUGCGGGAUGACGGCCUUCGGGUUGUAAACCGCGUUCAGCAGGGGCGAAGCUUGUGGUGACGGUACCUGCAGAAGAAGCACCGGCUAACUACGUG
rnacentral:rRNA from 1 species